UACGUAGGGCGCAAGCGUUUAUCCGGAAUUAUUGGGCGUAAAGAGCUCGUAGGCGGUUUGUCGCGUCUGCCGUGAAAGUCCGGGGCUCAACUCCGGAUCUGCGGUGGGUACGGGCAGACUAGAGUGAUGUAGGGGAGACUGGAAUUCCUGGUGUAGCGGUGAAAUGCGCAGAUAUCAGGAGGAACACCGAUGGCGAAGGCAGGUCUCUGGGCAUUAACUGACGCUGAGGAGCGAAAGCAUGGGGAGCGAACAGG
rnacentral:rRNA from 1 species